rnacentral:lncRNA from 1 species
GGUUUCUCCAAGCCCCCUAGUGCUUCAGUUUUGGUGGAGGAGACCUGAGGAAUAAAACAAAAGCAAAAAACGGAGACUAUAGCGCAACCAACACCAAGACAGCAUUUAACCCAGGGGGUGGCGCAGAGGACUGGAGAAUUCAUACGGCAAGAAGGGGGUGAUUUUUCACAGAGAGCAGUGUCUGCGCAGAGCCACGCACCAAGGCGCAGUUGGGAGCCAGGAUCUCCUUUCCCUUUUCAUUCCUUCUCUCCGACGCUGGGAGCGAGGCUACGCAGCCAGCCUCUCCUGCUUCCCCCUAAUGCAGGCUCCCGUGUGUGGCCAUGCUUCUCCGCUCAGGACCCAAAAGCAUGCUGGAUGUCACCCCACUCUUCACGCCGUAGGAUAAGUGCCAGCAGCACCCCUGCCAGGUUGAGCGAGUAUUAUGGCCAUGGGUCCCACGGUCAUCACUAUUGAGGAGGUGCGGGCGCUGGAGAGCAAGGAGGAGCAGGAGGAGUCCAUUUUGGCCUUGCUGGGCAUCGUUGGCACUUUCCUCAACCUCUUUGUCAUCGUCUUUGUUUACAUAUACACUGUCGUGUGACCUAAGCCAGAGUAGGAGUGAUCCUCCAAAACGACAAGGCACAAACCAAGAUUCCUUUUAAUCCUAAAUCAACAUAUACUGGAUUUUAAAUCCCGAGCUCCUCCCCUUAACUUUAUACUAGUUAAAAACGACAUGAGCAGUUUCCCAACACAGAGAGUGAGGAUGGACAGUUAUGUGGAGGAGGCGUCUCACAGCCACGAACCAGGGAGAUAACAGUGAGCUGUUGGCUACAUCAGGACCAUAGCUGUGCUGGAUCUGGAUCCAGGAUGGGCAGACAGACACUGGCCCAGCCCCAGCCAGGGUUCACUUUCCCAGGCUACAGGCCAGCACAGCCUGGAGUGGAACAUCACCUUAGACUCAUUGGCGUGAUGAGGGAAACAGUGUUACUGACAAAUCUCCUUUGUCAAAUGGAUUAUAAAAAAACGGAAUAAGGGACACUGAUGUCACUGGCCUGGACGGUUCAAGGGGCAUGGCGUGGAGGAGGCAGUGCAUGCACAGAACACUGGGAAGCCAUUACAGAUUAACUGUACACCACCAUAUCCCAUUGGUAAUCUUCCGGGGACAGCGUUUUAAACU